rnacentral:rRNA from 1 species
UACGAAGGGUGCAAGCGUUACUCGGAAUUACUGGGCGUAAAGCGUGCGUAGGUGGUUUGUUAAGUCUGAUGUGAAAGCCCUGGGCUCAACCUGGGAAUUGCAUUGGAUACUGGCAGGCUAGAGUGCGGUAGAGGGUAGUGGAAUUCCCGGUGUAGCAGUGAAAUGCGUAGAGAUCGGGAGGAACAUCUGUGGCGAAGGCGACUGCCUGGACCGGCACUGACACUGAGGCACGAAAAGCGUGGGGGAGCAAAC